rnacentral:rRNA from 1 species
UACAGAGGGGGCAAGCGUUGUUCGGAAUUACUGGGCGUAAAGGGCGCGUAGGCGGCCUGUUAAGUCGAACGUGAAAUCCCCGGGCUCAACCCGGGAACUGCGUCCGAUACUGGCAGGCUAGAGUAUGGGAGAGGGAUGUGGAAUUCCAGGUGUAGCGGUGAAAUGCGUAGAUAUCUGGAGGAACACCGGUGGCGAAGGCGGCAUCCUGGACCAUUACUGACGCUGAUCCGCGAAAGCUAGGGGAGCAAACGGG